AGAGUUUGAUUAUGGCUCAGGAUGAACGCUGGCGGUAUGCUUAACACAUGCAAGUCGAACGGGGGACUUCGGUCCCUAGUGGCGGACGGGUGAGUAACGCGUGAGAACAUGCCUAUCGAUUGGGGACAACAGUUGGAAACGACUGCUAAUACCGAAUGUGCCUACGGGUGAAAGAUUUAUCGUCGAUAGAUUGGCUCGCGUCAGAUUAGCUAGUUGGUAGGGUAACGGCUUACCAAGGCGACGAUCUGUAACUGGUCUGAGAGGAUGACCAGUCACACUGGAACUGAGACACGGUCCAGACUCCUACGGGAGGCAGCAGUGGGGAAUUUUCCGCAAUGGGCGAAAGCCUGACGGAGCAAUACCGCGUGUGGGAGGACGCUUUUUGGAGUGUAAACCACUUUUAUUAGGGAAGAAGAACUGACGGUACCUAAUGAAUCAGCAUCGGCUAACUCCGUGCCAGCAGCCGCGGUAAUACGGGGGAUGCAAGCGUUAUCCGGAAUUAUUGGGCGUAAAGCGUCCGUAGGUGGCUCAUCAAGUCUGUUGUCAAAGCGUGCGGCUUAACCGCAUACGGGCGAUGGAAACUGAUGAGCUAGAGUGCGAUAGGGGUCAGGGGAAUUCCCGGUGUAGCGGUGAAAUGCGUAGAUAUCGGGAAGAACACCAGUGGCGAAAGCGCCUGACUGGGUCUGCACUGACACUGAGGGACGAAAGCUAGGGGAGCGAAAGGGAUUAGAUACCCCUGUAGUCCUAGCCGUAAACGAUGACAACUAGGUGUGGUUCGUAUCGACCCGAGCCGUGCCGUAGCCAACGCGUUAAGUUGUCCGCCUGGGAGUACGCACGCAAGUGUGAAACUCAAAGGAAUUGACGG
rnacentral:rRNA from 1 species